UUACAGGGAGAUGGAAGGCAGUGACAGUGAGCAGCAGCAGCGAGAUUACAGGGAGAUGGAAUGGCAGAAGAGGUCCGAGAAACAGACAGACAGGACAGCUUCCAGAAAGUGAAGACUGGCACCUGAGAGAGAAGCACAGAGUGAAGAAUUUGCCAUUGAUGAUGGGAACCAUGGAAAUGGAACAGUGUUCACUGUCCCCAGUAACAGACCCACUAGUCAUUCACCAGGAACUGGGUGGGAGACCAAGAUUAAAGGAGCUACUUCACAUGGACAAGGAACUGCUUCAGGUUACAAAUUGGCCCAGCAAAACCGUUUCAAAAACCUGAAAGAUUACAAGUUUGUAUCCCCAUAUGUCUUAUCAGGGAAACAGAAACGGAGUGUAACUGUCCUUCCA